GUAAAAGAGGAGAGUCAUUAGCUGUUAGAAUCAAAGUUAAUUCACUCGUUCAUCCUGCAUCUUGCCAACAGCAGCAUUGUUAGUUUUUCAUCGAUUGAGAUUUCUGAGAAUGUCAAUCUUGACAUUGUGUCGUCGUGCCUGGCUUAUUCUCUGUGCGUGCGGUACAUGCUAAGGAAGCGUUUGUUAAUCAUGGUCAUGAAGAGGACUACUGAUUAUUGGAGCAUUCUGGUGUGAAUGUUGGCGGCUGCGUGGUUUGUGCUUGGAUUCGCCCAUGAAUUAAUGGCUAAGUAGCGCUUUGUUAGGGUUUUUGUAGUUGAAUUGGAAAUUUUCAGUUGGGACGGAAUUCUAGAGAUGCUGCCAAGCCUUGGAUAAAGUAGAGGUGCGAACUACGUCUCUUGGUGAUAGAAAAAAAAUAAGAUGUGGAGCACAAGGGUUUUGGCCAACUGAGGUAAAUGGUUACUGGUGUGAAUUGUAGUGUUGGUGGCAUCGAUUUUGUAUUUGUAUUCUCCAUGAUUUCCAAGCGAGACACUGAAGAUGGGAACUCUGUCUCUUGCAACGCGAUAGAUCUCAAAUUUAAUUUUGAUGUGUUGCAUAAGAGUUUCGAUUAGACUUUUAAGAAUUCUUUUUUGAUGCAAAUAGUUCCUGAGGCAUCGAUUACAGCUGAGAUGGGCAUCGUGUUCUUUGAAAAUGGAGGUUAUGU
rnacentral:misc_RNA from 1 species